CAGCCGCCGCGGUAAUACAGAGGGUGCGAGCGUUAAUCGGAUUUACUGGGCGUAAAGCGUGCGUAGGCGGCUUCUUAAGUCGGAUGUGAAAUCCCUGAGCUUAACUUAGGAAUUGCAUUCGAUACUGGUUAGCUAGAGUAUGGGAGAGGAUGGUAGAAUUCCAGGUGUAGCGGUGAAAUGCGUAGAGAUCUGGAGGAAUACCGAUGGCGAAGGCAGCCAUCUGGCCUAAUACUGACGCUGAGGUACGAAAGCAUGGGGAGCAAACAGGAUUAGAUACCCCUGUAGUCCCUGUCUCUUAUAU
rnacentral:rRNA from 1 species